rnacentral:rRNA from 1 species
GAUGAAUGCUAGCGGCAGGCCUAACACAUGCAAGUCGAGGGAGAAGCCCUUUCGGGGGCAGAAACCGGCGCACGGGUGCGUAACGCGUAUGCAACCUACCUUUCACAGGGGGAUAGCCCGAAGAAAUUUGGAUUAAUACCCCAUAAUAUUAUUGGAUGGCAUCAUUUGAUAAUUAAAACUGCGGUGGUGAAAGAUGGGCAUGCGUCCUAUUAGCUAGUUGGAGUGGUAACGGCACCCCAAGGCUACGAUAGGUAGGGGUCCUGAGAGGGAGAUCCCCCACACUGGUACUGAGACAGGGACCAGACUCCUACGGGAGGCAGCAGUGAGGAAUAUUGGUCAAUGGUCGGAAGACUGAACCAGCCAUGCCGCGUGCAGGAAGAAUGCCUUAUGGGUUGUAAACUGCUUUUAUAUGGGAAGAAUAAGGCGUACGUGUACGUUGAUGACGGUACCAUAUGAAUAAGCAUCGGCUAACUCCGUG